rnacentral:rRNA from 1 species
AUUGAACGCUGGCGGCAUGCCUUACACAUGCAAGUCGAACGGUAACAGGUCUUCGGAUGCUGACGAGUGGCGAACGGGUGAGUAAUACAUCGGAACGUGCCUAGUAGUGGGGGAUAACUACUCGAAAGAGUGGCUAAUACCGCAUGAGAUCUACGGAUGAAAGCAGGGGAUCGCAAGACCUUGUGCUACUAGAGCGGCCGAUGGCAGAUUAGGUAGUUGGUGGGAUAAAAGCUUACCAAGCCGACGAUCUGUAGCUGGUCUGAGAGGACGGUCAGCCACACUGGGACUGAGACACGGACCAGACUCCUACGGGAGGCAGCAGUGGGGAAUUUUGGACAAUGGGCGCAAGCCUGAUCCAGCAAUGCCGCGUGCAGGAUGAAGGCCUUCGGGUUGUAAACUGCUUUUGUACGGAACGAAAAGCCCUGGGUUAAUACCCUAGGGUCAUGACGGUACCGUAAGAAUAAGCACCGGCUAACUACGUGCCAGCCGCCGCGGUAACAC